rnacentral:lncRNA from 1 species
GUUUUCUGGCCCCAGGAAUGCAAGCCCUUCUCAAUCCAAAUAAUUCAUCUCCUCGGGGUGUUUCUGUGUUUUUCUUGGUCAACUAUACAGUCAUCUCACUCUGUAGCCAGGAGUGAAUUUCUUCUCUGAAACUUCCUAGUUUAAGGGGUUUCUGUUCCAACCAGGAAGGGCGUCGCAGUGCAGUACCAUCUGACACAGGCUGAUUCAUUUUGGUUUUAAGGAAAUCUUUCUCUGUCAUCCUAUUAGAAUAUGAAAUCUGGCAGCAGGGUGAGAUUUCAGUUCAGUUUGUGAAAGAACAAUGGAGAGCAUGUGUGUUGUUGAGCCUGUGUAUAACUGUGUGCAUCUGCCUUUUAUUAUGCAAUGAGCCUAAAAAAUCUCAGCGAGAUUCUCAGAGAUCCAGUGCGUUCAGAACUAGUUGUGAAAAGGAAGAGAGGGUUUUUUGGCAAGGCUGAAGAUGGGCCCCGUGGGGCUGUUUUGAAUCUGAUGAUUUAGCUAUAAAGUCUGAGGAGGAAGAAACAUGGCUGAAACCCUCACUGGUUGACUGGAAAAUACAAAUGAGCAGGCAACAAAUGAAGCCUGAGAACCUAUUAACAAGCAAGUCAAAGAAAGAGAAGAAAAUGAAAAAGAACAGAAGAAGAAAAAAGAAAAUGAAAAAGAAGAAAAGAAGGAAGGAAAGAAAAGAAAUAACUGAAAAAUGUACAUUCAAUGAAAUUUGUAUGCAGGCUUUUAAAAAUCAAAAUGACUUUUUAAAAUGCAAUAAUUAAAAAUGUAGACAAAAUUACACCACGAUCUUAAUAAGACCUUUGUGAUUUUUGUCGAGUCUUUUUCCAUUUCCAGUGAUAAAACAACAAAGAAAACACAUAUAAAGGGCCCAUUCUGUGCUGGGUACUUUUGUGUUUUAUGGGAUUUAUUAACUCAUUAAACCCUUGGGAAAACACUAUGAGGAAGCAAUUUUUUUUUCUGUUUUGCAAAUGAAAAACUGAGCAUCAG